GAUCCUGGCUCAGGACGAACGCUGGCGGCGCGCCUAACGCAUGCAAGUCGAACGAGAGAGAAGGAGCUUGCUUCUUCGAUCGAGUGGCGAACGGGUGAGUAACGCGUGAGGAACCUGCCUCAAAGAGGGGGACAACAGUUGGAAACGACUGCUAAUACCGCAUGACGCAUAGGGGUCGCAUGAUCUUUAUGCCAAAGAUUUAUCGCUUCAAGAUGGCCUCGCGU
rnacentral:rRNA from 1 species